rnacentral:rRNA from 1 species
UGAGACUCUGUGCGCGUGCAUAUCAAUAAGCGGAGGAAAAGAAACUAACUAGGAUUCCCUCAGUAACGGCGAGUGAAGCGGGAAGAGCUCAAAUUUGAAAUCUUAAAGGUUUCCCUUGACGAAUUGUAGUUUAAAGAAGUGUUUUCUGUUGGAGUUUCGGUAAAAGUUCUUUGGAAUAGGACAUCAUAGAGGGUGAGAAUCCCGUAUUUGACCGUUACUUUCUAGCUGUGUGAUACACUUUCAAAGAGUCGGAUUGUUUGGGAAUGCAGUCCAAAAUGGGUGGUAAAUUUCAUCUAAAGCUAAAUAUUGGCGAGAGACCGAUAGCGAACAAGUACCGUGAGGGAAAGAUGAAAAGAACUUUGAAAGAGAGUUAAACAGUACGUGAAAUUGUCAAAAGGGAAGCGUUUGACACCAGUGUUGUUUUUCCGAAAAUCAAUUAUGAAUGGCUUGACUUUAAGUUUCAUGACCUUAAAAGCUUGUUUCUUAUUUUUCAUGUCUUUCGUAAUGCACUUUUCGGUUAACAAGUCAACAUCAAUUUCUUUUGUUGUAGAAGGGUCAGUAGGAAGGUGGCUUUACUCUUCGGAGUAAAGUGUUUAUAGCCUUUGCUCUCUGCAAUCGGAGAGAUUGAGGUCUGCAGCGUAGAUCCUUCGGGGUUAAAUACAUUUGUGCUAAGCUAUAGCCUUUUAUAGACAACUUGUUGACUAUGCUCAGUCAUGUAGCUUACUCGCUUAUGCUAUUUUACCUACGCUUAGGAUGUUGAUCUGUAGUGCGUGCGC